UUCACUGUGUGUUUGUUUCCGUGUCUGUGUUUUUCACCACACGGUAUUGUUUUGGGUUUCGUUCAUUCCACAUUUAUUGUUUUUGUAUUUCAGUCGUGUUCAUGUGUAGUAUUUCUUACAGUUUCUUUGGAUUGCUUAAACACUCAAAUUAAAAGUAGUACACUAUUAGCAAAACCUUACACUCAAGAAGUAAAACAUCAGCCCAUAUUUGCACAACUAUAAGCACAUUGUCAACCUCACACUUGUUGCAAAACUCUACACACAGUGAUUUUCAAAACACUAAACACACUUAUAACAUACAUUACACACAAAAAUCUAUCAUGAAGUCACGUCCUUGCAAUACCAGAGCAAUGACUGUCAAAUUACCACACCGUCCAACCAAUUUGUUCAACACAGGCAUCAGGUGUGCAAACACUUGUUUGCUUAAUUGUAGACACACCAAUCAGGUGUAUAAGCACUAUAAAAAGCAGCAGGUGAGUUCAUCGGUCUUCAAGCACAAUGGAAAGAGUCAGAGAAAGAAUAAGACUACUACGAGGAGGACAAGAAGGUGCUCAAAGAGGACGAAUCUGACAAAUGAGAUCCGCGCAACACUGGUUGACCACGUUGUCAACCACGGCCUGACGCUGAGGGAGGCUGGACUGCGAGUACAACCAAAUCUAAGCCGAUAUACAGUGGCAAGUGUGAUGAGAACAUUUCGACUGGAAAAUAGAAUUGUGGGUCAUGGACGACAAGGGGGAAGGCCUCCUAUGUUCACAGAACAGCAAGAGGGGAGAUAGUAAACAUGGUUUUGGCCAACAAUGCUAUAACACUCAAGCAGCUCCAAGCUAACAUUGUCAAUAACCACGCCAUUUUCAACGAUAUCCAUCAGGUCUCAACAUCAACACUGCCAGGCAUCCUAAAAAAAACAUAUUCAAAUGAAGCAAAUUUAUCGAGUGCGGCAUGAUUAUGCCGAGAGAGUUUUACGAAUGGAUGGAGAGGAGAUCCAGCAUGAGUUCAUUUACGUAGAUGAGGCUGGGUUCAACCUGACGAGAACACGAAGGAGGGGAAGAAACAUCAUUGGCCACAGGGCUAUAGUCAAUGUCCCAGGGCAACGUGGGGGUAAUAUAACACUCUGUGCAGCCAUUACACAGAAUGGUGUCCUCCACCCCAGGCCCAUAUGGGCCCUUACAACACAGCACUCAUACUUACAUUCUUGGACCAAUUGCACAACAUAACAGCAGCAAAUCAAAUCGAUCAUAUGCAAUACAUUGUUGUCUGGGACAGCGUGUCUUUCCACCGCUCUGCUCUGGUUCAGAACUGGUUUCAGCAACAUCCACAUUUCACCAUCCUAUAUCUUCCACCAUACUCUCCAUUCCUCAACCCUAUAGAAGAGUUUUUCUCGGCAUGGCGGUGGAAGGCUGAGGUACCCCUCAUCCAAUCCAUGGAGGAGGCCUGUGACCAGAUGGAGGUAGCAGCAAUGCAAGGAUGGAUUCAUCAUUCAAGACGUUUCUUCCCAAGGUGUCUUGCUAAUAACAACAUUGCCUGCGAUGUUGAUAAUUCUCUGGCCAGAUCCAGCUAGGCGAAGAGACAAUGUCUAGUUAUUUUUUUUAUUUUUUUUAACUUACAAUACGUAAAGUGACGUUUGGUUACAGUAUUAUGAAUCUCCAUGUCAACAGUUUGGGCGUGUUGAGAAACAAAUGAGUUUCUUCAGUCUGCAACAUUGGUCUUGUGUAGUGUUUGGUGAAUUUACAUUAUAUUUGUACUUUGUUGAUAGUAGCCUACUCUAAUCAUAGGGAAGUAGUGGAAGUGCUAAAAGUGUUUUGGGUUUAUCACAGCAGAGUGUAACUUGUGCAAACAGAGUAUAGUAAUGUGAAACGUGUGUUUCAUAUGGUAACAAAGUGUGGUUUUUAUAAAGAAGUGUAUAGUUUUUACAAGAGUGUUUAAUUUUGCAAAGGAUCUGUAGUGUUUUGCUAAUUGGGUGUGUGGUUGUGCUAAUUGGGUGUGUGGUUGUGCUAAUUGGGUGUAGUGUUUUGAAAACACGGCCCUGUUUUGAAAAUCGUGCUUAAGCAAUCAAAAAAAACUGUAUUAAAAUAACCAUGGACACUUACCACGCCACAUAUUGGUCCUCCGAUCCUUCUCGCCUCUCCUCUUCAGAGGAAGAGGAGGAAAUCCCUUACAGUUCUGGUCCAAAACUGGUUUUCCACCCAUACACAAUUUGUAGUUUUAUACCUACCCCCAUAUUCACCUUUUCUAAAUCCCGUAGAGGAAUUCUUCUCAGCCUGGCGCUGGAAAGUGUAUGAUCGCCAACCCUAUGCCCGCAUGCCGCUUCUCCAGGCAAUGGAGGACGCAUGUGGGGACAUAGAGGUGGCCUCUGUCCAAGGUUGGAUAUGCCACACUAGGAGAUACUUCCCUUGAUGUUUGGCAAGAGAGAACUUAUCUUGUGAUGUGGACGAAGUAUUGUGGCCAGACCCAGGCCGGAGAAGAGAUGAAGCUUAGCACUGGUGACUGCCCCCCUACCAA